AGGCUGAGCUAGUCGCCCUGGAGACGGGUUGUUUUGAACCCCACUCGACUCUCCAAGUUCUCGCGCUCCCACACGAAACUAAACAGGCUGUUCUUCACAUGAGCCACACGGAUCUGAACUUUACACGGAAAAAACAGGCCUUAUUUGAACAGGAAUAAAAAGCCCAUCGUACAAAGCGGUCUCCCGGGACACCGAAGAAUAUGCCUACUUGCGGGGGCUCGGGGAGAUCGUUAACACCGACAAUAAUACUAUUCCACUCUACUUUUUUGUAAAUAAAUAUCCUGCAAACGCGCGCGAAUCUCAGUAACGUUACGUUACUUAACAAAAAACAAAUUUUCCGGUGACUACAAAAACAACCACAGAUUAGCUACCUGAUAAACAACUAAAGGGACCACAAAUACAAUAUUAUCAUAUCAUCAAAAGCAGCGAGCGUUAAAAUAGUUAACAUUAACACAAUAAGGUAAUCUGCAUAAUUUAUUCAGUCCGCGGGGCAUCGGGAACUCAAGUAGGGGGACUAUGGUAAUAUUGUUAUCCACCGACUCCACACGUUGAUCAAAAGCGCAUAAAUGCUUUGGUUCUUGCUUGCUGUUUAGUGAUUAAAGCAGUUUUGAAUGAUUGAAACAGUAAGGUCUGUCUCCUAAAGUUUUCUCGUGAUGACCAGCAACAUAAAAAAAAAGAAAUCUACUAUAUAAUCUAAAUUAUUUCACAAAUUAUUUCUUAAUUAUUUUGAGUUAUUUGUAUAGUUAUUUUAAUUUUACUUAGGCCUAUGUUUGAACUUUUUGGCUUUUGCACAGCUUUUGUUGCACUAAAUAUAGAUUUACACACUUUUACUGACUGUAAUGUCAAUUUUUAUUAAAUUUCAAGGAGUGUUCUGCAAUGUCACAUGCUUGCAGUGGUUGUAUGGAUGAUUUGAUUAA